UACGUAGGUGACCAGCGUUGUCCGGAUUUACUGGGCGUAAAGAGCUCGUAGGCGGUUUGUUGCGUCGGCUGUGAAAUCCCGAGGCUCAACCUCGGGUCUGCAGUCGAUACGAGCAAACUAGAGUGUUGCAGGGGAGACUGGAAUUCCUGGUGUAGCGGUGAAAUGCGCAGAUAUCAGGAGGAACACCGGUGGCGAAGGCGGGUCUCUGGGCAACAACUGACGCUGAGGAGCGAAAGCGUGGGGAGCGAACAGG
rnacentral:rRNA from 1 species